rnacentral:lncRNA from 1 species
UAAAAAAUAGUAACGUGCAUCUAUUUGUGAAUGAACAUAAAAUUAAUUCAGCAAAACCAAAAAAAGAAAAGAAAUUCACUGAUAGCUAACUUUUCUAUUUGUGCAAUGAAAUUUCCUUCAUACACAUUCUGAAACGUGGUUCUAACUAGUCUAACGAGUGUCAUUACUAAAUUGCUACGCAAAAAUGAAACACUUUUUCUCUUAAUCUCUUAAUAUGUCUUGCGCGUCCAUGGUCUUCUGGUAAAUAUUUCCCAAUAUUUUCUCUACCCUCUAAUCUCUUUUUUUCUGUUGAGAAAUGUAAGAGCAACUCCAACAGCAUAAUCAUAUCCAACAGCAUAAUCAAAUGAGGCAUUAAAGGCCUAACUGCCAAUUUGAUGCCCAAAAUUUCAUUCUUUCGGCCUCCAGCAGGGUAGUCAAACGGUGGGUGCAUUUUUGGCUCCCAUAAAUUCAAUAACCAAAAAAUUCCAACUGUAAUUUCACACCCCAACGGUCAUUUUUUCUAAACCAAAAAAUUGAUUCAAAAAAUCAGAUUCACCUCAUCAUAUUUCUACAACCCAAUCAAAUAAUUUUCUCAAAUCUUUUAUUUGACUCCACACUAAAAGGAGAGUAAUUCCUUCUUAGGCAAAAAGAGAGAGCGAGAAAAAGUGAAGUAGAAACGAGUGAAACCGAAAAGAACAGAGGUGAAGCAGAGGUAUGUUUUCUGGUUUUUUUUUUUUUUUUUUUGCAACGGCUGUAUAUGGAAGAAGAUGAUGUAGAAAUUAGGUUUAGUUUUUAGUUUUAUAAUAUUUAAAUUGACUUAAGUGGAUUAGGUUGAUUGGGCUGGGCUGGGCUUAGUUAAUUUAUUUUAGUUGAAUUGGAUAAAUUAAUAUAUUUAAAAAUUGAUGAUCCAUUUGAUGUUUUAUUGUUGGAGUGGAAGACUUUUAUUCAAUAACUAAAACACUGUAGCAAUAAUCAAUAGACAUUUGAGUACUCAUUUUUGAUUACUAUUGUUGUAGUUGCCCUGAGAAACAAAAAAUGGCACUCAAGACGGAGAGAUGUAAGAAUAAAAAAUGGUAGCUGAAUCAUAUUUAAAGGGCGCAAGUAUACAUAAACUCAUAUAUCACCAUAUGCAUGAGUACACAGUCCGAAAAAUGGACCAUUUUCCACAAUUAUGAAAUCAUUGUCUACAAGAGUUACAAGUCUUAUAGUUGCAAUCGGUGUAGGAAUUGGAUAUAGUGUACAACGAAUUGUCCAGCUUACUCAGAAUCGCUUGCAAUUGUAUAUCAUGUACUCCUUAUACUUUUCUAUUUAAGAUCUAUCUGGGACGAUUUGCUCAUAUUUAUACUACUACACCUUUAAUGGAUGCAUCGUGAUUAAUUUAAUCAUACGGUGGUCUGUGACUCUCUAGAUCAUUAUUAUAAAUCUUCUAACACAGACUCUCUAGAUCAUUAUUAUAAAUCUUCUAACAUUAUUAUAAAUUGUCAUAAGUCGUUUACUUUUUCUUUUAGCUCAAUAGCCCAUUUUCUCAAUUUAAAUACUGAAGAUAUCAAAAAAUCAGCUAUAGUAUUUGAUAUUAUUAGAAUUAUUAUGUAAUAAUGAAAACAAAAUGUUAUUAUAACUCAACAAAUAAUCUACAUUAAUUUUUCAUUAGUAUAUCAGUUUUUUUGAUAUAUUUUUCUGGUUGUACAUUACAUUUUUCGGUACAAAUUUAUCCACUUCCGUUUUCCUUCAUGAACAGAGUAUACGUAACAAACUAAUAAGAUAAUAAGAUUCUGGCCGAUUUAUUAUUUUGUUUAGUCCCAAUUUUUUUUAAAGAAUGAGCUUAUCUUGGAAUAUUGAAAAAAAAAUCAAGAAUUAUGUAAGAUUCGGAUAAUGUUAUCUUGUCUAAUCCCGUUGUAUCAACCAAACAGGCCUUAGUAAAGAUGGUGAUUACUUGUAGUAGUGAUUCUCUUGUACACAGACAUGCUCAGUGGAAAUCGAGCGUGUGUGCAACUUUGCCAAUGAGAGAAUGCUCGAAACUGCUGUUGUAAUUGUUGCACCACCGAACGGUGAUAUCUUAUACAUGAAAUUCACAAAACCUAUUCAGACCAA